AAAGUCCCGCAAGGGAUCAGUAGAGUGGCAAACGGGUGAGUAACGCGUGGGUGACCUGCCUUCGAGCGGGGGAUAACGUUCCGAAAGGGACGCUAAUACCGCAUAACAUCCUGCUUUUUAAGAAGUGGAGAUCAAAGCCUGGGACCGCAAGGCCAGGCACUCGAAGAGGGGCCCGCGACCGAUUAGCUAGUUGGUGGGGUAAUGGCUCACCAAGGCUCCGAUCGGUAUCCGGCCUGAGAGGGCGGACGGACACACUGGGACUGAGACACGGCCCAGACUCCUACGGGAGGCAGCAGUGGGGAAUUGUUCGCAAUGGGCGCAAGCCUGACGACGCAACGCCGCGUGGAGGAUGAAGAUCUUCGGGUCGUAAACUCCUUUCGAUCGAGACGAACGGCUUCCGGGUAACAUCCGGGAGAGUGACGGUACCGAGAGAAGAAGCCCCGGCUAACUCCGUGCCAGCAGCCGCGGUAAUACGGGGGGGGCAAGCGUUGUUCGGAAUUACUGGGCGUAAAGGGCUCGUAGGUGGCCAACUAAGUCAGACGUGAAAUCCCUCGGCUUAACCGGGGAACUGCGUCUGAUACUGGAUGGCUUGAGUUUGGGAGAGGGACGCGGAAUUCCAGGUGUAGCGGUGAAAUGCGUAGAUAUCUGGAGGAACACCGGUGGCGAAGGCGGCGUCCUGGACCAACACUGACACUGAUGAGCGAAAGCCAGGGGAGCAAACGGGAUUAGAUACCCCGGUAGUCCUGGCCCUAAACGAUGAAUGCUUGGUGUGGCGGGUAUCGAUCCCUGCCGUGCCGAAGCUAACGCA
rnacentral:rRNA from 1 species